GUUGAUCGUCUUGGACUCCUAUAUGAGAGUCGCGAGUGUGCAGCAGGUGGGUUGGUCACUUCUGUGCAAAUUAAUAGAAAUCUGUCCAGGUACAAUGCAAAGCUUAAUGGGACCCCAGGAUGUUGGAAAUGAUUGGGAAGUCCUUGGUGUUCACCAGUAAGUAUGAUAUGUAAAAUAAACUGCCUUGAGUAUUUAUCUAUACACAUGACAACCUUCCCUUGAUACAUUGUAUUUGCAAUCCAAGGCUACUCUUGUGGAAUUCUUUAAAAUACAGAUAUUUUUCCUUGAGUCAAUGAUUUACAUUUAUAGAGAGCUUUAAAUUUAGAAGUUUGAUUUAGAAAGCAAACAUUUAAGGUAACAUGUCAGAAGUUAUUAUUUUGAUAAUAUAAUCAUAUAAUUAUAAAACUGGUUAAGUUGUAGAUUUUUGAUGAGUAUUUUUGAAUUCAAACCAUGAAGAGAUUUUGCCUUUUAAUAAUAGAACUGUUACAAACCACUAGUUCUUAAAAAAAUGGGAACUGAGAAAAGUUAGUUCUGUAAGUAGUAAUUUGAAAG
rnacentral:sRNA from 1 species